rnacentral:rRNA from 1 species
GCCGCUCCUUGCGGUGACGGACUUCAGGCACUCCCGGCUUCCAUGGCUUGACGGGCGGUGUGUACAAGGCCCGGGAACGUAUUCACCGGAUCAUGGCUGAUAUCCGAUUACUAGCGAUUCCAGCUUCACGGGGUCGAGUUGAAGACCCCGAUCCGAACUGUGACCGGUUUUGUAGAUUCGCUCCUCCUUGCGAAGUGGCUGCUCUCUGUACCGGCCAUUGUAGCACGUGUGUGGCCCAGGACGUAAGGGCCGUGAUGAUUUGACGUCAUCCCCACCUUCCUCGCGGUUUGCACCGGCAGUCCCGUUAGAGUCCCCAUCUUUACAUGCUGGCAACUAACGGCAGGGGUUGCGCUCGUUAUAGGACUUAACCUGACACCUCACGGCACGAGCUGACGACAACCAUGCAGCACCUUGUGAUCUGCCCGAAGGAGGCUCUAUCUCUAAAGCUGUCAGACCACAUUUAAGCCCUGGUAAGGUUCCUCGCGUAUCAUCGAAUUAAACCACAUGCUCCACCGCUUGUGCGGGCCCCCGUCAAUUCCUUUGAGUUUCAUCCUUGCGGACGUACUCCCCAGGUGGGAUACUUAUCACUUUCGCUUGGCCGCCCAGAUUUGCAUCCGGACAGCUAGUAUCCAUCGUUUACGGCGUGGACUACCAGGGUAUCUAAUCCUGUUCGCUCCCCACGCUUUCGUCCAUCAGCGUCAGUAUAUGGUUAGUAACCUGCCUUCGCAAUCGGUAUUCUAUGUAAUAUCUAUGCAUUUCACCGCUACACUACAUAUUCUAGUUACUUCACCAUAACUCAAGACCACCAGUAUCAAGGGCAAUUCUACGGUUGAGCCGCAGACUUUCACCCCUGACUUAAUGGCCCGCCUACGGACCCUUUAAACCCAAUGAUUCCGGAUAACGCUCGGAUCCUCCGUAUUACCGCGGCUGCUGGCACGGAGUUAGCCGAUCCUUAUUCUUACGGUACCGUCAGAGGGGCACACGUGCCCCUUGUUCUUCCCGUACAAAAGCAGUUUACAAUCCAUAGGACCGUCUUCCUGCACGCGGCAUGGCUGGAUCAGGCUCCCGCCCAUUGUCCAAUAUUCCUCACUGCUGCCUCCCGUAGGAGUCUGGUCCGUGUCUCAGUACCAGUGUGGGGGAUCCCCCUCUCAGGGCCCCUACCCAUCGCUGCCUUGGUAAGCCGUUACCU